rnacentral:rRNA from 1 species
CCCUUAGAUGUUCUGGGCCGCACGCGUGCUACGCUGAGUAAUUCAAUGGGUAAGGGAACGCUAGAGCAUUACCUAAUCUUGAAAUUUGCUCGUGAUGGGGAUCGACGGUUGCAAUUUUCCGUCGUGAACGAGGAAUACCUUGUAGGCGCAUGUCAUCAUCAUGCGCCGAAUACGUCCCUGCCCUUUGUACACACCGCCCGUCGCUCCCACCGAUUGAGUGAUCCGGUGAGGCUCUGGGACCUGGACGGAAAGAGCGUUUCGCUUGUUCUGUUUGGGAAACUUGGUCGAACCUUAUCAUUUAGAGGAAGGAGAAGUCGUAACA